rnacentral:rRNA from 1 species
CCUGGCUCAUACUCGGGGAUAGCCUUGCGAAAGUAAGAUUAAUACCCGGCGGUCUCGGACGGCCGCAUGACUGUCCGAGUGAAGAUUUAUCGGUAUGAGAUGGCGAUGCGUCCCAUUAGCUAGUUGGUGAGGUAAUGGCUCACCAAGGCAUCGAUGGGUAGGGGUUCUGAGAGGAAGGUCCCCCACAUUGGAACUGAGACACGGUCCAAACUCCUACGGGAGGCAGCAGUGAGGAAUAUUGGUCAAUGGACGAAAGUCUGAACCAGCCAAGUAGCGUGCAGGAUGACGGCCCUCUGGGUUGUAAACUGCUUUUAGUUGGGAAUAAAAAGAGGGACGUGUCCCUUAUUGUAUGUAGCCAUCAGAAAAAGGACCGGCUAAUUCCGUGCCAGCAGCCGCGGUAAUACGGAAGGUCCAGGCGUUAUCCGGAUUUAUUGGGUUUAAAGGGAGCGCAGGCGGCGGCGUAAGUCAGUUGUGAAAUCGUGCGGCUUAACCGUGCAAUUGCAGUUGAUACUGC